rnacentral:rRNA from 1 species
GACGAACGCUGGCGGCGUGCUUAACACAUGCAAGUCGAACGGAAAGGCCCUGCUUUUGUGGGGUGCUCGAGUGGCGAACGGGUGAGUAACACGUGAGUAACCUGCCCUUGACUUUGGGAUAACUUCAGGAAACUGGGGCUAAUACCGGAUAGGAGCUCCUGCUGCAUGGUGGGGGUUGGAAAGUUUCGGCGGUUGGGGAUGGACUCGCGGCUUAUCAGCUUGUUGGUGGGGUAGUGGCUUACCAAGGCCUUGACGGGUAGCCGGCCUGAGAGGGUGACCGGCCACAUUGGGACUGAGAUACGGCCCAGACUCCUACGGGAGGCAGCAGUGGGGAAUAUUGCACAAUGGGCGGAAGCCUGAUGCAGCAACGCCGCGUGCGGGAUGACGGCCUUCGGGUUGUAAACCGCUUUCGCCUGUGACGAAGCGUGAGUGACGGUAAUGGGUAAAGAAGCACCGGCUAACUCCGUG